rnacentral:tRNA from 1 species
AGUUUUAUAUUCAUAAUAUGAUGCUAGAAUGCAAUUCUAGAGGUGUAUAAAUAGUACUAAGACUU